rnacentral:rRNA from 1 species
CGAUAAGCUCACCGCCUGAAGGAGUACUGUCCGCAAGGCUAAUACUCGAAGAAAUUGACGGGGACCCGCACAAGCGGUGGAGUAUUCGGCUUAAUUCGAUGCAACGCGAAGAACCUUACCUGGCCUUGACAUGCAUUGUGUCGUCGGUGAAAGCCGGCUAGUCCUGGAAACAGGACGCUUUGCACAGGUGCUGCAUGGCUGUCGUCAGCUCGUGUCGUGAGAUGUUGGGUUAAGUCCCGCAACGAGCGCAACCCUUGUGGUCAGUUACUAACCGGCUUAGCCGGAGGACUCUGGCCAGACUGCCCUGUCAAACGGGGAGGAAGGUUGGGGACGACGUCAAGUCAGUAUGGCCCUUAUGGCCAGGGCUGCACACGUACUACAAUGCCCGGUACAAUGUGAACCGAAACCGCGAGGUGGAGGAAUCGCUCUGAAAACCGGGCCAGUUCGGAUUGGAGUCUGCAACUCGACUCCAUGAAGUCGGAAUCGCUAGUAAUGGCGUAUCAGCAACGACGCCGUGAUACGUUCCCGGGUCUUGUACACACCGCCCGUCACAUCAUGGAAGUCUCCUGUACCCGAAGCACGUGCGCCAACAUUUCAGGAGGCAGCGUUCGAAGG